CGCGGCCUAUCAGCUUGUUGGUGAGGUAACGGCUCACCAAGGCAACGACGGGUAGCUGUUCUGAGAGGAAGAUCAGCAACACUGGAACUGAGACACGGUCCAGACACCUACGGGUGGCAGCAGUCGAGAAUCAUUCACAAUGGGGGCAACCCUGAUGGUGCAACGCCGCGUGGAGGAUGAAGGCCCUAGGGUCGUAAACUCCUGUCAUAUGAGAGUAAGGCAUAGAGGGAAUAAUACCCUUUUAUGUUUGAUAGUAUCAUAAGAGGAAGGGACGGCUAACUUCGUGCCAGCAGCCGCGGUAAUACGAAGGUCCCGAGCGUUAUUCGGAAUCACUGGGCGUAAAGAGUACGUAGGCGGUUUGGUAAGUCAGGUGUGAAAUCCCGGGGCUCAACCCCGGAACUGCACCCGAUACUGCCAGACUGGAGUAAUGGAGAGGCAGGUGGAAUUCUCGGUGUAGCAGUGAAAUGCGUGGAUAUCGAGAGGAGGACCAAUGGCGAAGGCAGCCUGCUGGACAUUUACUGACGCUGAGGUACGAAGGCCAGGGUAGCGAAAGGGAUUAGAUACCCCUGUAGUCCUGGCAGUAAACGGUGCGCGCUUGGUGUGGGAGGAUUCGACCCCUUCCGUGCCGGAGCUAACGCGUUAAGCGCCCCGCCUGGGGAGUACGG
rnacentral:rRNA from 1 species